GCCCUGGGCUCAACCCGGGAAUUGCAGUGGAUACUGGGCGACUAGAGUGUGGUAGAGGGUAGUGGAAUUCCCGGUGUAGCAGUGAAAUGCGUAGAGAUCGGGAGGAACAUCCAUGGCGAAGGCAGCUACCUGGACCAACACUGACACUGAGGCACGAAAGCGUGGGGAGCAAACAGGAUUAGAUACCCUGGUAGUCCACGCCCUAUACGAUGCGAACUGGAUGUUGGGUGCAAUUUGGCACGCAGUAUCGAAGCUAACGCGUUAAGUUCUCCGCCUGGGGAGUACGGUCGCAAGACUGAAACUCAAAGGAAUUGACGGGGGCCCGCACAAGCGGUGGAGUAUGUGGUUUAAUUCGAUGCAACGCGAAGAACCUUACCUGGUCUUGACAUG
rnacentral:rRNA from 1 species